GUACUGCUUCGGCAGUACAUAUACUAAAAUUGGAACGAUACAGAGAAGAUUAGCAUGGCCCCUGCGCAAAGGAAGGAGCGCAAUCUUCUCCCCAGCCGUUCCAAUUUAAA